rnacentral:rRNA from 1 species
GAUGAACACUGGCGGCGUGCCUAAUACAUGCAAGUCGAACGCGCAGCGAAAGGUGCUUGCACCUUUCAAGCGAGUGGCGAACGGGUGAGUAACACGUGGAUAACCUGCCUCAAGGCUGGGGAUAACAUUUGGAAACAGAUGCUAAUACCGAAUAAAACUUAGUAUCGCAUGAUACAAAGUUAAAAGGCGCUACGGCGUCACCUAGAGAUGGAUCCGCGGUGCAUUAGUUAGUUGGUGGGGUAAAGGCUUACCAAGACGAUGAUGCAUAGCCGCGUGGAGAGGCUGAUCUGCCACAUUGGGACUGAGACACGGCCCCAACUCCUACCGGAGGCUGAAGUAGGGAAUCUUCAACAAUGGGCGCAAGCCUGAUGGAGCAACGCCGCGUGUGUGAUGAAGGCUUUAGGGUCGUAAAGCACUGUUGUAUGGGAAGAAAUGCUAAAAUAGGGAAUGAUUUUAGUUUGACGGUACCAUACCAGAAAGGGACGGCUAAAUACGUGCCAGCCGCCGCGGUAA